UUCUUAUGAACUGUCUACAUCCUAUGACUAGAGAAUUCAUCCAUAAUGGCUACCACCUAUCAAACCACUUGUUAGACUAGUUGAACAAAAAUCCAAAUCAUCAAUUGAGGAAGCACCAAAACUAGAACUCAAAACACUCCCUGAGCAUCUCAAAUAUACGUAUCUAGGUCCAUCUGAAACUCUGCCUAUAAUCAUAGCAUCAUACCUAGAUCCAACCC
rnacentral:lncRNA from 1 species